rnacentral:tmRNA from 1 species
GAAGUUCAAGAGAAUAUGACUAUUGAAGGGUUAAAAGCGCGAUUCUUGAGAACUUUUAUCUCAACAAGUUAGGAGAGGAACUCAGCCUCUCCUUUGUUGAAGAAUAACCAGUGAGGCGCUACCACUCCAUCGCCCAUGUGGCGUGACUAGCGCUCAACUUUAGUGGGAUACGCCGGAGGUCUCCGCCUGGGGCCAAAGGAAGAAGAUGAAUCAGGCUAGGUGCUGGGUCAGCGCGUCACUCCGCGAAUCCAUCACCGAAAUUCAAAUGAGUGACUGCGCUCGGAGAUGCUCAUGUGUCGCUGUUUUCGGACGGGGGUUCGAAUCCCCCCGCCUCCACCA